AGUUAAAUGAUAUUCAAACAAUUUGUUAUAAAGAAAAGAGUUUAUAUCAAAUUAUAGAUGAAACGAAACUCUAUGAAACAAACGGAUUUUCAAGAUAAUUUCUUUUUCUACUUAAAAAAGAGGUUCAAAAUAUCAGAACGAAAAUGUACAAGAGACAUAUAUCGAUCAUGCAUGUAUUCAUACAUCACUUUCAAACGGUCCAUUUCAUCCUAUAAACUACAAAGGAUCCCCGUUAAUUUUUUUCUCGUUCUACUUCCAAGUUAAGAUUAAUAAUUAAUAAAGAAUAAUCUCCGGUAAUCUCUUUCUUUUAUCAUGGAAUUUAGAACAUUUUUUGCCGGCGAUUCUCGAUAAAAAAAGACUUUACAACGCGCCACAGACGGGAUUACUUUUACGAUCGCGCAUACCAGAAUCAGCCUAGCCGUCAAUUGGCCUUUUUUUUUUCCUUUUCGUCUGUCCGAAACUGGGUCAUAGUUUCGUUCGCGGAGCUAGGGCAAUAGAGGCCUAGGAACCUUUACCUAGUUACGCUUUCGAGAAUUGGGAUGACACCACGAGUUUUGAGUUUGAUCGUUGCCCAAAUUUCUGCCCCCCCCUCGUUGAUUCUGGUGUACCCAAAUCCGGAACCUGGUUCGUUUCGAGGGGGGGCCCCCCCCCACGCUACACGGAAUGUCCUCAUUCUUUUUGAGGCCUCGGGGCCUCGAGGGCCGCGUGACUUCCUCAACGUAACAACUGGGAACCGCGGCGACGGCCCCACGUGAAGCUUCCAAUUCGUCCCUUCGAAUUCCGUGGCUAAUUUCACGAGCUCGAAUCGAAGUUAAAGGGAAAGAGUUUGGUGUCGUAAUAUCGAGUGUUGAAGAAGGUUUGAAUUUUUGUGAGUAAAGUUUGUAAAGUUGAUUUGAUUCGAGUCGGUAAUUUUUUUAUCGAUAUCUUUUCAUUUUUUCAAGGAUAGGAAAAAAAGUGAUUUGCAUGAUUAAUGCAUUUUUAAAAGUUCAUAAAUAAAUUCACUUUUGUUUAUAAAUAACUAUGUUAAAAAUGGAUCCCGGUUGUUUCAUUGAAGUAACAGGCGGUUAUUUCCAUCCAUCCAACUUUCUGUGUAUCGCUUCUAACUCAUGCGGAACCUAUUUGUCCAUUUUCUUUACUUUUCUUAUUUGAGCCUCUAGUGACGAAUAAUCGUAGAAUGGCUUACUUUUACUUGAAACGAUUAUUUCUCUCCACGCUUGUCGUAGAUUAUUUUUUACCAUAUCUUUUAAAAUAUUACUACUAUUCGACCGAUUAUUAUAACCAUAUAUAUUUAAAAUUUUCGAAUAUCAUACAUACUGGAUUAUUUAACGAGUUUAUUAGAUACUUUCCCGAUAUAUUAUAUAUAUUAUAAAAGAAAACGUCGUAAACGUCUUUCAUAAAAAAAAAAAACCUAACCUACGUUACAGGAAAUAUUAAAUCUGCAUUUGCAAAACAUUGCUGUUCCUCCGUGUACACACACAUAUAUAUACGUAUAUAUAUAUAUAUAUAUAUGUAUAACACGCGACACGCGCGCCCGUCAAAUUCUGUAUUGUGGGGCGUCAGCCUCGAAACACAACGAGUUCGCCGUUCACCGGCGAUCAUACCGGCGCUCGUCUCGGCGUGAUAAACAAUUACGAAACGGAUUGUUAAAAAAGGAAGCGAUACGGCUCGCGCAUAUUUAUGUAACAACCGCGCAGGCUCAGCAAUGGCCACGAGCGUGUAACGGCAACGCGAGUAAAGUUUUCUCGCGAGCCCGUGUGCGCGUAACAUCCGUAUCGACGUUCCAAGUGGUGUGCACGCGCCCACCCAGGUUUGCCAUCUCUACCUGUUCCUCUCGUUCCUUGCACACCUGUACGCUAUCACGUACGCCUUUUGGUCACGCGUGUGUGUCACACUUAACGCCUAUCUCUAGUCAUCGAGCAAUGUGGUAGGAUCCACGGGUAUAUACCACGAGCAAAAGUUUCACUCGGUCUUCGGCCCCGACUUCUCCCUAUACGUUCUUUUCUAUACGUUUAUGCGCGCGCACAAACGUAACGUAAUGUACGGACGCCUGUAAACGAGGUUGUGCGUUUGUGAAAUCGUACGUGUGAUGUCGGCACAGGUAUGCGCAUGCGUAUACAUAUAGGUUGGAGGCUCGUACGCGUGCUACCGGUCGUUUAAUCGGAGAACGGGCAGGCAAGUCCUUGGCAAGGCCGAUCGAGACAUCAUCCAGCCACCUUUUUCCAAUUAGCGGACUUCUGGUAAUCGGCUACCGACUUCCUACGAACAAACGCACGCGUCAGACGCGGUGCGCCGUGUUUGCGGAUUGCCUCAUCCUCUUUCGAGUAUACGAGUGGGAGGUAUGCGUUGCAGAUGUUUUCGUCGCUUUCUUGCUUCCCGUGCAGUUUUUAUUCCGCGUGAAAUUUUCGUUUCCUCCAUCUCGAUCUAUUUAUACGUAUAUUUUCGAUGGUACUUUUUUUUUACACCCGAUAAUAAUAGUUACGAUUUACGAAUAAUUUUUUUUUUCUUUUUCUUUUCCACUCGUUUCAGUAGCUUAAUUUCUCCCUCGAGAGAGAGAGAGAGAGAAUUGCGCAACGUCGACCUUGAAGGACAAUUAUCCCGGCGAAGAAGGAAAUUUUUCUUAAAGCUGGAGCGAUGAGGAAGAGGGCCGACAGAGGUCUCAUUACAACCGUGUUUACAUCUUGGACGUUCGGGCACCAGGAGGCGUGUCGAAUCUCACGUGGCAAAAUAUUUUCGGUGGCGUUGCAUGGGAACACCGCAGGUGGGUCGGGCGUACGGAAUCGCGCCUCGCAAUAUUUAGACUCGUACUACUUAACCGUGUAUAAAGGGGGCCGUGUUGCGAGACGACCGAUUAUUCACGGCCCUUUUCUUCUUUUCUUCGCUUUUCCGGAAUCCCGGAAGAGGAGACCCUUUUCCCGAGUUCGUUGCACCGACAAUACGGAAGUCUCGGCAAAUUUCGUAGAUACCUACUUUAGGCCGCGUACACAAACUGCUACUUCUAUUCAUCGAGGACACGAGGGCCAAACUCGAGAAAAAUCCUAUUUGUGAAUCGCUUGCUUGAAGGAAACGAUGAAGAAGAUGUUGCGAACUUGGAGCUUCGUAACACGUGGUGGCGCGUAAACGAUACAGGCAGGAAAAUUUUUAACGGGAAUCCUUAAACGUUUAAAACGUUACGCGUGUCGUAUUUUCGACGCGCGACCAUCGUAAAUUUUCCAAAGUUUCAAUAAUAAAUAAAUAUCGGCCCCGGCUGCGACACACGUGUUCCUUCGAGAUCCUGGGCACGUUCCUGUUGUCGGAACGUAGUCAGUCGUGCCGUCCACGUGUCAUCUGUCUCCUCUUUGUUCCCGAAUGUUCACGUUCCGAACAAUGUAUGCAAUUUAUCAUUUCAUGAAUAGAUGGCACAAAAGUGGCAGGUAUCGAGUGAAUAUUUCGAACGAAGGAUUUAAUCUUGAGCGAAACAAUAGAGAAGAAGCGGUAAAAGGGAUAAUAAACAUUGUUCGUACUUAAACACUUUCUUAAUGUGCGCAUUACCCUAUCGAUAAAUUAUUUAAUCUCCAAUUUAUUAUUUCUUAAAUGGCAAUUUAUUUUAUAUGUAU